GAUGAACGCUGGCGGCGUGCUUAACACAUGCAAGUCGAACGGUGAAGGCGGAGCUUGCUCUGCUGGAUCAGUGGCGAACGGGUGAGUAACACGUGAGCAAUCUGCCCCUGACUCUGGGAUAAGCGCUGGAAACGGCGUCUAAUACUGGAUACGAGCUGCGAAGGCAUCUUCAGCAGCUGGAAAGAAUUUCGGUCAGGGAUGAGCUCGCGGCCUAUCAGCUUGUUGGUGAGGUAAUGGCUCACCAAGGCGUCGACGGGUAGCCGGCCUGAGAGGGUGACCGGCAACCGGGGGAAGGAGACAGGCCCCAGACCCCAACGGGAGGCAGCGGGGGGAAAUAUGGCACAGGGGGAGAAAGCGGGAGGCAGCAACGCCGGGUGGGGGACGAGGGCCUGGGGGUUGAAAACCUUUUUAGGCGGGAAAGAAGCGAAAGGGAGGGUACCUAAAAAAAAAGCGCCGGCUAACUACGUG
rnacentral:rRNA from 1 species